GAUGAACGCUAGCGGCAGGCUUAACACAUGCAAGUCGAGGGGCAGCGUAAUGAAGUAGCAGUACGGAUUUGACGGCGACCGGCGCACGGGUGCGUAACGCGUAUGUAACCUACCUUUAACAGGGGGAUAACACUGAGAAAUUGGUACUAAUACCCCAUAAUACUUUAGGAGGCAUCUCCUUUGGUUGAAAGUUCCGGCGGUUAAAGAUGGACAUGCGUUGUAUUAGCUAGAUGGUGAGGUAACGGCUCACCAUGGCGACGAUACAUAGGGGGACUGAGAGGUUAACCCCCCACACUGGUACUGAGACACGGACCAG
rnacentral:rRNA from 1 species